CAAAGUAUGGUUAUCAAAAGAAUUCACCUUGAAAGAUCUAAGAGAAGCUUCUUACAUUUUUGGUAUAAAGGUAUAUAGAGAUGAUCUAAGAGAAUGAUAGGACUCUCACAGUGAAUGUACAUAGAGGAGAUACUGAAGAAGUUUAGCAUGAAAAACUCCAAAAGGAGUCUAUUGCUCUUUAGGCAUGGCAUUCAUUUCUCCAAGAAGAUAUGUUCUGAUACACCUGA
rnacentral:lncRNA from 1 species